GACACCCACACCACCCCGAACAUGCCGGAUCUCCUCUGAUCUCGGAAGCUAAGCAGGGUCGCGCCUGGUGAGUACUUGGAGAAUUGUUGUCUUUUGCAUCCUGAAUGUUUGUGUCU
rnacentral:rRNA from 1 species